UCGCGAGAGUGAUUUUGGGACUCCCAGGCUGAGGCUCCCGAGCGCAGAUUAAAGAGGCGGCCGGUUCUCAUCUCGGCUCCUCCCUACAGGAGCUGUGUAUUGAAGACAAUGUCUGGGAGCUUCUACUUCGUAAUUGUUGGCCACCAUGAUAAUCCAGUUUUUGAAAUGGAAUUUUUGCCACCUGGGAAAGCAGAAUCCAAAGAUGAUCACCGUCAUCUGAACCAGUUUAUAGCUCAUGCUGCUCUUGACCUUGUGGACGAAAAUAUGUGGCUUUCGAACAACAUGUACUUAAAAACGGUGGACAAAUUUAAUGAGUGAAAGACCACGCCUUAACUCUCUGCACAUAUGAGAUUUAUUAUGCUUCAUGAUGUGAGGCAAGAAGAUGGGAUAAAGAACUUCUUUACUGAUGUCUAUGAUCUGUAUAUAAAGUUUGCAAUGAAUCCAUUUUAUGAACCCAAUUCUCCCAUUCGAUCGAGUGCAUUCGACAGGAAAGUCCAGUUUCUUGGGAAGAAACACCUUUUAAGCUAAAUGAGAACAACUCGGAAAUCAGCUGUCUCAUCGUGGGUAUCAGGAAGGUGUGCUCUGUAAAUCAUUCGAAAUUGCCUGGAAAACAUCCCCUUAAAAUUGUACUUUGUUUUCAUGUUGACUAUCAGCAUUAAUAUUGGCUUGUGAACUGUGAUAUGUAUAAACAACUCUUUACCAGUAGUUCUGAACAGUUUUAUUUAAAAACUUGAGAAAACUUUUCUUGCCGAAGAUAAUAUGAUCUUAAUUUAUUAAUUCAAAAGCAUAUGUCAUAGUUAAUAUUUGUUAGAUUGAUUAAAGACUGAAAAGUUCUGGAGACAUGACUGAAAUGAGUUAUUUAUACAUUUAGAGAUGUCCUUUUAAAAUGCAUAAUACACUGCAGUACCAAGAAGCUGAAGCAGAAAGCCCAUGCCAAGUGUUCCAUGCUUGCCUACCUCUGCCAGAGGCUGAGAAUAACCGUCCUGCUGUAACUCUAGACCCCCUAGAUCUAUGUAUGCUGCACCAGUUACAGGCCUUGGCAAAAUGUGGUGCCUCUGUCACCUUACAUUCUAGUGUUUCCUUUCUCUUAGUAAACUAGAGGUUUAUUUGAAUUUAUUAGUAUCUGUACUUGGAAAAUGUUAUAAUAUGGAUUUAGUAUUACUAAUAAAAGCCUGGGUUACACUGACAUUUGCACUUUACCUUUAUGCUAUAUACAGGGUGGGAGGUGGCAGAUGUGGCCUCUUGUAUUAGAAAUGUUGGUUUGAUUUUACAGUAGUACAUAUGUAUGGAAAAGCAAACCAGAUUUUCAUGUACACACUGGAAAAUUUCUCUCCAUUCUAACUUUUGAGUAAGUACUUCUAAACUUUCUUGUAUUCUUUGGUGAAGUUAUCAUCACUCUUUUUUUUAUUUCUUAAAUAAAUAUUUAUAUCCAA